rnacentral:rRNA from 1 species
UGGGCGGUGGCGGCGAGGUUGGUCCUGGGUGUCUUACGGUGAAGCCAGCUUGCUUGGUGGAUCAGUGGCGAACGGGUGAGUAACACGUGAGCAACCUGCCCUGGACUCUGGGAUAAGCGCUGGAAACGGUGUCUAAUACUGGAUAUGAGGCGUGAUCGCAUGGUCAUGUUUGGAAAGAUUUUUCGGUCUGGGAUGGGCUCGCGGCCUAUCAGCUUGUUGGUGAGGUAAUGGCUCACCAAGGCGUCGACGGGUAGCCGGCCUGAGAGGGUGACCGGCCACACUGGGACUGAGACACGGCCCAGACUCCUACGGGAGGCAGCAGUGGGGAAUAUUGCACAAUGGGCGCAAGCCUGAUGCAGCAACGCCGCGUGAGGGGAUGACGGCCUUCGGGUUGUAAACCUCUUUUAGCAGGGAAGAAGCGUGAGUGACGGUACCUGCACAAAAAGCGCCGGCUAACUACGUGCCAGCAGCCGCGGGAAUACGUAGGGGCGCAAGCGUUAUCCGGAAUUAUUGGGCGUAAAGAGCUCUUAGGCGGUUUGUCGCGUCUGUUGUGAAAUCCCGAGGCGCACCCUCGGGGCUGUAGUGGGGAAGGGCAAAACUAUAGUGGCGGGGAGGGGAGAUUGGGAUUCCUCGGGGUGCGCGGGAAUGCGCAAAAAUUUCGGGGACCACCCCCGGGGAAGAGAGGAU